rnacentral:rRNA from 1 species
GUGUCAGCAGCCGCGGUAAUACGUAGGGGGCAAGCGUUGUCCGGAUUUAUUGGGCGUAAAGAGCGUGUAGGCGGCCGUGUAGGUCCGUUGUGAAAACUCGAGGCUCAACCUCGAGACGUCGAUGGAAACCACACGGCUAGAGUCCGGAAGAGGAGAGUGGAAUUCCUGGUGUAGCGGUGAAAUGCGCAGAUAUCAGGAAGAACACCUAUGGCGAAGGCAGCUCUCUGGGACGGUACUGACGCUGAGACGCGAAAGCGUGGGGAGCGAACAGGAUUAGAAACCCUAGUAGUCC